rnacentral:rRNA from 1 species
UUCCUACGGGAGGCAGCAGUGGGGAAUAUUGCACAAUGGGGGAAACCCUGAUGCAGCGACGCCGCGUGGGCGAGGAAGUACCUCGGUAUGUAAAGCCCUAUCAGCAGGGAAGAAACAGGACAGUACCUGACUAAGAAGCCCCGGCUAACUACGUGCCAGCAGCCGCGGUAAUACGUAGGGGGCAAGCGUUAUCCGGAUUUACUGGGUGUAAAGGGAGCGUAGACGGCUGUGCAAGUCUGAAGUGAAAGCCCGUGGCUCAACCGCGGAACUGCUUUGGAAACUUUAUAGCUUGAGUACUGGAGAGG